CGGCGUCCUCAACUGGACAGGAAGGCAGAGCUUGGUUGUCUGUGUCAGCAGACUCGGGCAUGAUAUCCCGGCCCGGCUUGAAUGCAGAGCAAUGGCCACUGCACAGUCAGCGGGAGGAACAAGACUCAAGGCAGAGCCUGAUGGGGAAGCGAUGUUCCCCAUGAUGCUAGAAGGGAGCGUGCCACUCUCCGUGGGGGGAGCGAGGUUCUCCACAAGGCCAGAGAGGGGAGCGAGGUUCUCUGCGAGGCCAGAGGGAAGCUCCAAGAUUUCCACUAGGCCAGAGAGGGGAGUGAGGUUCUCCAUGAGGCCAAAGGGAGGAACAAUGCUCUCUGCGAAGCACGAGGGGGAAAUGAUACCCUCCAUGGAGCAGGAAGGGGGAGUGACAUACGGCGCGCAGUAAAGAAGAGGAGCGACAUUAGCGGAAAAAGGAGGCAGAGCGACGUCCUCAGCGAAGCAGGAUGACCGAGCAACGACUUCAGCCGAGCAGAAAGGCUGAUCGGCGUCCUCAGACAAGCAGGGAGGCUGACUGAUGUUCCCCGUUGACUCUGUUUGCUGGACUAGAUCCAUAAUAGGAGAGAGUGUGUGGGAGAUGGUACCAGCCCAGUUAAAAGUCUCCCACUUGUACCGGGACUCCUGGACCCUGAAAAAUUCCACUGCAUCCAUUGUUAGGUCAUACGUUCACGAUUCAAAGGUGGAGAUGGAUGCAAAGAAUUUCAAACAUUUAAUAGAUAACCCAACAAACUACAAAAGACAAAGACAACAAGGCAAAAUACUGUGGCUAAGACUAAACAUACACUAAGAAACAAAACAUGGUAACAGGGACAAAGGUAAAGUUAGACAAACGGAAGCAGUGCAAACAGUGGCUAUGUAUAGGAGUGCUCUUAAGUGAUAUGGGUGCAGGUGGUCAUGUGACAUUGAUGUAGUACGGUGCAGUGCUGCUGGGAAAUGAAGUCCAGAGUUCCUUCCUUGAUACAUGACAUAUAGCUACUUUUUGGCAAAGAUUGCAUUAAACUGCGCCU
ensembl:lncRNA